UCCACUGAAGUGUCGUAGCUGCUGCUGAGCGAGUGACUGAUCAUGGAUGAUGAAGUGUCCCUAUAGGAGAAAGAGGUGCUCCAUCAGGGCUGACGUGCUGUACUCAGGACCUGGGGGGUUCUGUGAGCCUCCCUGUCUCUGUGCAACCAGGAAAGAGGGAAAAAGAUGCUUGAUAAUCAGAAGGGGUGAGCUGCAACCUUUCCCCCAGAUUAAGGGUCAUGCAGAAAGGACCAGUGGACGUUUGGAUUGGACACACAGGAAGAGUGGAAUGGAACUGGAAAAAUGCAACAUGUCCUGUGGGAGAACUGGAUCCUGCUGUCUAAAGCUGAGAUCCUAAAC